rnacentral:rRNA from 1 species
UACGGGGGGUGCGAGCGUUGUCCGGAAUCACUGGGCGUAAAGGGCGCGUAGGUGGUCUGAUAAGGGUGUGGUGAAAGCCCGGGGCUCAACCCCGGGUCGGCCGUGCCGACUGUCAGACUAGAGUGCUGUAGGGGCAGGCGGAAUUCCGGGUGUAGCGGUGGAAUGCGUAGAGAUCCGGAGGAAGACCGGUGGCGAAGGCGGCCUGCUGGGCAGAUACUGACACUGAGGCGCGACAGCGUGGGGAGCAAACGGG